rnacentral:rRNA from 1 species
AUUAAAGUUGUUGCAGUUAAAAAGCUCGUAGUUGGAUUUCUGGUGGGAGCGUUGGGCCGGCCCUAAGGGUCUGAGCUCAAAUGUUUUCCGCCAUCCUUGGAGGGAUGUUGUCUGGCAUUAAGUUGUCGGGCUUCCGAUCUCCAUCGUUUACUGUGAAAAAAUUAGAGUGUUCAAAGCAGGCUUAUGCCGUUGAAUACAUUAGCAUGGAAUAAUAAGAUAGGACCUUGGUACUAUUUUGUUGGUUUGCGUACCUAGGUAAUGAUUAAUAGGGACAGUUGGGGAUAUUACUAUUUCGUUGUCAGAGGUGAAAUUCUUGGAUUUACGAAAGAGUAACUACUGCGAAAGCAUUUAUCAAGGAUGUUUUCAUUAAUCAAGAACGAAAGUUAGGGGAUCGAAGAUGAUUAGAUACCAUCGUAGUCUUAACCAUAAACUAUGCCGACUAGGGAUUGGCGGUCGUUUUUCCGACUCCGUCAGCACCUUAUGAGAAAUCAAAGUCUUUGGGUUCCGGGGGGAGUAUGGUCGCAAGGCUGAAACUUAAAGAAAUUGACGG